UGGGCGUGCGACUGAUUAGGUAGUUGGCGGGGUAACGGACCACCAAGCCUACCAUCAGUAACUGGUGUGAGAGCACGACCAGUCACACGGGCACUGAGACACGGGCCCGACUCCUACGGGAGGCAGCAGUAAGGAAUAUUGGUCAAUGGACGCAAGUCUGAACCAGCCAUGCCGCGUGAAGGAUGAAGGCCCUCUGGGUUGUAAACUUCUUUUAUCUGGGACGAAAAAAGGGGAUUCUUCCUCACUUGACGGUACCAGAGGAAUAAGCACCGGCUAACUCCGUGCCAGCAGCCGCGGUAAUACGGAGGGUGCAAGCGUUAUCCGGAUUUACUGGGUUUAAAGGGUGCGUAGGUGGGUCUGUAAAUCAGUGGUGAAAUCUCCAAGCUUAACUUGGAAACUGCCAUUGAUACUAUAGGUCUUGAAUUGUCUGGAGGUAAGCGGAAUAUGUCAUGUAGCGGUGAAAUGCUUAUAUAUGACAUAGUACACCCAUUGCGAAAGCAGCUUACUACGGAUUGAUUGACACUGAAGCACGAA
rnacentral:rRNA from 1 species